ACAGCAGUAGCCGCGGUAAUACGGAGGGUGCAAGCGUUAAUCGGAAUUACUGGGCGUAAAGCGCACGCAGGCGGUUUGUUAAGUCAGAUGUGAAAUCCCCGGGCUCAACCUGGGAACUGCAUUUGAAACUGGCAAGCUAGAGUCUCGUAGAGGGGGGUAGAAUUCCAGGUGUAGCGGUGAAAUGCGUAGAGAUCUGGAGGAAUACCGGUGGCGAAGGCGGCCCCCUGGACAAAGACUGACGCUCAGGUGCGAAAGCGUGGGGAGCAAACAGGAUUAGAUACCCCAGUAGUCCCUGUCUCUUAUAC
rnacentral:rRNA from 1 species